GAUGAAGAACGUAGCGAAAUGCGAUACUUGGUGUGAAUUGCAGAAUCCCGUGAACCAUCGAGUCUUUGAACGCAAGUUGCGCCCGAAGCCAUUAGGCCGAGGGCACGCCUGCCUGGGCGUCACACGUCGUUGCCCCCCCAUCUACUCCUUCGGGAUUGCGGGGGGCGGAUGAUGGCCUCUCGUGCGCCUCGUCGCGCGGUUGGCCUAAAUGCCAAGUCCUCGGCGACGCACGCCACGACAAUCGGUGGUUGCGAAACCUCGGUUGCCUGUCGUGUGCGGUCGUCGCGCAUCGAGGGCUAGAAAAAAUUGCCGGGCUUCGGCUCGACUUUCAACGCGACCCCAGGUCAGGCGGGGUUACCCGCUGAAUUUAAGCAUAUCAAUAAGCGGAGGA
rnacentral:misc_RNA from 1 species